rnacentral:piRNA from 1 species
UCCUCCAGCUUGAGAUUCUUCAGGGUAAC